GCAUCGGUGGUUCAGUGGUAGAAUGCUCGCCUGCCACGCGGGCGGCCCGGGUUCCGGUCCCCGAUGCA